CCUGGUUGAUUCUGCCAGUAGUCAUAUGCUUGUCUCAAAGAUUAAGCCAUGCAUGUCUAAGUAUAAGCAAUUACAAAGCGAAACUGCGAAUGGCUCAUUAUAUAAGUUAUCGUUUAUUUGAUAGUACCUUACUACAUGGAUAACCGUGGUAAUUCUAGAGCUAAUACAUGCUGAAAAUCCCGACUUCGGAAGGGAUGUAUUUAUUAGAUACAAAACCAAUGCCCUUCGGGCUCUCUUGGUGAUUCAUGAUAACUUCUCGAAUCGCACGGCCCCGCGCCGGCGAUGGUUCAUUCAAAUUUCUUCCCUAUCAACUUUCGAUGCUACGGUAUUGUCCUAGCAUGGUUGCAACGGGUGACGGAGGGUUAGGGCUCGACCCCGGAGAAGGAGCCUGAGAAACGGCUACUACAUCCAAGGAAGGCAGCAGGCGCGCAAAUUACCCAAUCCCGACUCGGGGAGGUAGUGACGAUAAAUACCGAUACAGGGCUCUUUUGGGUCCUGUAAUUGGAAUGAGUACAAUUCAAAUCCCUUAACGAGGAACAAUUGGAGGGCAAGUCUGGUGCCAGCAGCCGCGGUAAUUCCAGCUCCAAUAGCGUAUAUUAAAGUUGUUGUGGUUAAAAAGCUCGUAGUAGAAGCUCGCCUCCGGUCGGCCGGUCCGCCUCACCGCGUGCACUGGUUCGGCCGGGGCUUCACCUUCUGCGGAACCGCAUCUCCUUCACUGGGGUGUCGGGGAAACAGGACGUUUACUUUGAAAAAAUUAGAGUGCUCCAGGCAGGCCUAUGCUCGAAUACAUUAGCAUGGAAUAAUGGAAUAGGACGUGUGGUCUUAUUUCGUUGGUUUCUAGGACCGCCGUAAUGAUUAAUAGGGACAGUCGGGGGCAUCAGUAUUCAAUCGUCAGAGGUGAAAUUCUUGGAUCGAUUGAAGACUAACUACUGCGAAAGCAUUUGCCAAGGAUGUUUUCAUUUAUCAGGAACGAAAGUUAGGGGAUCGAAGACGAUCAGAUACCGUCGUAGUCUUAACCAUAAACUAUGCCGACUAGGGAUCGGACGGUGUUAUUUCUUGACCCGUUCGGCACCUUACGAGAAAUCAAAGUGCUUGGGCUCCAGGGGGAGUAUGGUCGCAAGGCUGAAACUUAAAGAAAUUGACGGAAGGGCACCACCAGGGUGGAGCCUGCGGCUUAAUUUGACUCAACACGGGAAACUCACCAGGUCCAGACACAACGAGGAUUGACAGAUGAGAGCUCUUUCUUGAUUUUGUGGUGGUGGUGCAUGGCCGUUCUUAGUUGGUGGAGUGAUUUGUCUGCUUAAUUGCGAUAACGAACGAGACCUUAACCUGCUAAAUAGUCCGUAUUACCCCGGUAGUACGCCGACUUCUUAGAGGGACUAUCGGCUCAAGCCGAUGGAAGUUUGAGGCAAUAACAGGUCUGUGAUGCCCUUAGAUGUUCUGGGCCGCACGCGCGUUACACUGACGGGGCCAGCGAGUACUGCCUUGGCCGAAAGGUCCGGGUAAUCUUGUGAAACCCCGUCGUGCUGGGGAUAGAGCAUUGCAAUUAUUGCUCUUCAACGAGGAAUCCCUAGUAAGCGCAAGUCAUCAGCUUGCGUUGAUUACGUCCCUGCCCUUUGUACACACGCCCGUCGCUACUACCGAUUGAAUGGCUCAGUGAGGCUUUCGGACUGGUCCGGAGUGGGGGGCGACCCCCGUUCUGGACCGGAAAGUUAUCCGAACUCGGUCAUUUAGAGGAAGUAAAAGUCGUAACAAGGUCUCCGUUGGUGAACCAGCGGAGG
rnacentral:rRNA from 1 species